CACGUAGGGUGCGAGCGUUGUCCGGAAUUAUUGGGCGUAAAGAGCUCGUAGGCGGUGUGUCGCGUCGGCCGUGAAAACCUGCAGCUUAACUGUGGGCUUGCGGUCGAUACGGGCAUCACUGGAGUUCGGCAGGGGAGACUGGAAUUCCUGGUGUAGCGGUGAAAUGCGCAGAUAUCAAGAGGAACACCGAUGGCGAAGGCGGGUCUCUGGGCCAUAACUGACGCUGAGGAGCGAAAGCGUGGGGAGCGAACAGG
rnacentral:rRNA from 1 species